UACGGGGGGGGUAAGCGUUGUUCGGAAUUACUGGGCGUAAAGGGCUCGUAGGCGGCCAACUAAGUCGGACGUGAAAUCCCUCAGCUUAACUGGGGAACUGCGUCCGAUACUGGAUGGCUUGGAUUUGGGAGAGGGAUGCGGAAUUCCAGGUGUAGCGGUGAAAUGCGUAGAUAUCUGGAGGAACACCGGUGGCGAAGGCGGCAUCCUGGACCAACAUUGACGCCGAGGAGCGAAAGCCAGGGGAGCAAACGGA
rnacentral:rRNA from 1 species